UUUAAAAUUUUUAAUUAAUUUUUUAUUUUUUAUAAACAUAUAUUUUUAUCCCCAGGGGUACAGGUCUGUGAAUCACCAGGUUUACACACUUCACAGCACUCACCAAAGCACAUACCCUCCCCAAUGUCCAUAAUCCCACCCCCUUCUCCCAAACCCCCUCCCCCCAGCAACCCUCAGUUUGUUUUGUGAGAUUAAGAGUCACUUAUGGUUUGUCUCCCUCCCAAUCCCAUCUUGUUUCAUUUAUUCUUCUCGUACCCACUUAAGCCCCCAUGUUGCAUCACCACUUCCUCAUAUCAGGGAGAUCAUAUGAUAGUUGUCUUUCUCUGCUUGACUUAUUUCGCUAAGCAUGAUACGAUCAGGGAGAUCAUAUGAUAGUUGUCUUUCUCUGCUUGACUUAUUUCGCUAAGCAUGAUACACUCUAGUUCCAUCCAUGUUGUCGCAAAUGGCAAGAUUUCAUUUCUUUUGAUGGCUGCAUAGUAUUCCAUUGUGUAUAUAUACCACAUCUUCUUGAUCCAUUCAUCUGUUGAUGGACAUCUAGGUUCUUUCCAUAGUUUGGCUAUUGUGGACAUUGCUGCUAUAAACAUUCGGGUGCAUGUGUCCCUUUGGAUCACUACAUUUGUAUCUUUAGGGUAAAUACCCAAUAGUGCAAUUGCUGGGUCAUAGGGCAGUUCUAUUUUCAACAUUUUGUUUAUACUUAUAGACAGUUUCAAGAGAAAGAAAUACCUUUUGGACAUGGAAGCUUUUUCUCUCUCACAUACAUGAAUAACUCACUGGUACAGUUUGGAAAUCCCAACACAGUGGAAACUUUGGGGCAGAGGGUAUGAGAUGAACUCGCCUAGUCCCGUGAAGCAGCCACUUCCUGUAACUUCUGCUUCUUCAUCUGCACGACGAGUGCAAUAUCACCCUGCCUUUAUAUAUGAGUGAGAAGCAGAUCACUUCCAUAUGUGUGAGGACUUUCUACUUUUUUUAUUUUUUUA
rnacentral:lncRNA from 1 species